rnacentral:rRNA from 1 species
ACCUGUGGGGAUAACACAGUGAAUGCCCAGUUCCUCAUGAAUCGCUAAAGUUAAGCAACGUUGUGUGUGGUUAGUAUCCAGAUGGGUGACCGUCUGGGCAAUCGUGUAUUGCUGGCU